GCAAGGGUGAACUGGGCAGUAAAAAACGCAGAGGAGCCGGGACCUGACUGGGAGACAUAUGAUGUCUGAAUUCUUAAAUCAAGUGAUCAGUACUUCGAGGCAAGACAACAACUAAAUAAGUCGCUGUCAUGCCACACUUCCGACCUGCAGACAGAAGAGGAGGAAGAGGACGUGCGACCCAAGAGGAAGCCAAAGUCAUUUCUUGGGGGAUUCUGAUGAUAGUGAAGACGAACAUCCAAGAAAGAAAUCCAGAAGCCAAUCCAAAACAUCUAUACAGCCACCAGCUCCUGCUAUCCUGCCACCACCAUCUCCUGCUGUUGAACCACCACCAUGCCAACAACAAACCUUGUCUGCAAGCCAGGUGCACACACCUGCCUGGCGAGGGAGAAGGUUUGACUCGGGCACCCUUCCCUGCUCUGCCACAGAAGCCCAGAUUUUGGACUUGCUGGAACAUCUAAAAAAACAGAUGGAGCAACUAGAAGCCAAGGUUAAUUAUUUAACCAGCAAGCUGGAUGCAACUCCCCAGGAAAUGGAGGUGCAGAUUCCGGUCCAGUUGCCAUUAACUUCAGUGGAGGAAGUGAACCCUUUUGAGAACUGGCUCAAAGAUGCUGCACAUUCCCAGCUGAAGCAGAAGUUGAUUUCCUCGCUGGCAGCUUUUGGGGGCCAUGACACCAAACGCAUAACGUGGAACAUCCUGGCACACAUUUUCCACGAUGAUGUUGGAAAGCUGAUUAAUUGGAAAGGUGUCAAUGGGAAGAAGUCUUUCAACCAGAUGUCAUCAAAAACACUGCUCCUGCGUAAGUACCCAUUUUAAAAUGUUCAC